rnacentral:rRNA from 1 species
AACGAACGCUGGCGGCAGGCUUAACACAUGCAAGUCGAGCGCCCCGCAAGGGGAGCGGCAGACGGGUGAGUAACGCGUGGGAAACUACCCUUUGGUACGGAAUAACACAGAGAAAUUUGUGCUAAUACCGUAUGUGCCCUUCGGGGGAAAGAUUUAUCGCCAUAGGAUGUGCCCGCGUAGGAUUAGCUAGUUGGUGUGGUAAUGGCGCACCAAGGCGACGAUCCUUAGCUGGUCUGAGAGGAUGACCAGCCACACUGGGACUGAGACACGGCCCAGACUCCUACGGGAGGAAGCAGUGGGGAAUAUUGGACAAUGGGCGCAAGCCUGAUCCAGCCAUGCCGCGUGAGUGAUGAAGGCCUUAGGGUUGUAAAGCUCUUUCACCCACGACGAUAAUGACGGUAGUGGGAGAAGAAGCCCCGGCUAACUUCGUGCCAGCCGCCGCGGUAAUAC